rnacentral:rRNA from 1 species
GCCUACGGGGGGCAGCAGUAGGGAAUUUUCGUCAAUGGGCGCAAGCCUGAACGAGCAAUGCCGCGUGAACGAGGAAGGUCUCCGGAUCGUAAAGUUCUGUUGAAGGGGAAAAAGAGCGGAGAGAGGAAAUGGUCUCCGAUUGAUAUUACCCUUCGAGGAAGUCACGGCUAACUACGUGCCAGCAGCCGCGGUAAUACGUAGGUGGCGAGCGUUAUCCGGAAUGAUCGGGCGUAAAGGGUGCGUAGGCGGCCUGCUAAGUCUGGAGUGAAAGGUACCGGCUCAACCGGUACAGGCUCUGGAAACUG